UGGGGCCACUGCACCACAUGCCCUUCAUCCUCUAACAGGCUAGUUGAGCUUGUCUGCAUGACAGAGGCAGAUUCUCAGGCCAGGGCAGAAGCUGCGGGGCCACGUGAGGUCUGAGCUUAGAACUGGAGCAAUGGCCCAUCUACCCUAUUCUAGCAGCUAAAGCAAACCACAGAGGCCAGGACUGAUUCCAGGUGCCUGUGAGUUCACUCAACACAACUCUUCUAUCCCAUACUCCAGCUGACAGACUCCUGGGACACCAUCUACCCCUCUUACAUAUAUUCCCAGUACAGUUUCUACUGAUACCUGAAUGGUGAGCCAAAGUUCUUCCCAGGAUUGUGUCUCACAAAGUUGAAGAAUAAAAUCAUGG